rnacentral:tRNA from 1 species
GCCUGGAUGGCUCAGUUGGUUAAGUGUCUGACUUUGGCUCAGGUAAUGAUCUCACUGUUCGUGGGUUCAAGCCCCGCAUCUGUGCU